rnacentral:rRNA from 1 species
AUACGGAGGGUGCAAGCGUUAAUCGGAAUUACUGGGCGUAAAGCGUACGUAGGCGGUUCGUUAAGUUAGAUGUGAAAGCCCCGGGCUUAACCUGGGAACUGCAUUUAAAACUGGCGAACUAGAGUUGAGUAGAGGGGAGUGGAAUUUCAGGUGUAGCGGUGAAAUGCGUAGAGAUCUGAAGGAACACCAGUGGCGAAGGCGACUCCUUGGACUCGAACUGACGCUGAGGUACGAAAGCGUGGGUAGCAAACGGGAUUAGAAACCCUAGUAGUCC